GGCAGAGCCGUUUGCUCCCGGCCGGGGUCGUGCGGGGCACGAUGGCAGCUGGGGGCGGCGGGGCCGGUGUCCGCCCCCGGGGCCGUCCCGGCCACGCGACGAGGCUCGGGCACCCCCCCCCCCGGGACGUGUCCCCGCUCCCCCCGGGGCCGGAGGAGGGUUUCCCGGUUCAGGGGCUGCUCAGCCCUUUCUGCGAGCGAGCCGUGGCCCGACUCCACGCAGGGUUGUGCAAACCCAGCCCUAACGGUCCCAGGCAUUUUCUUUCUUAAUUUGCGCUAUUAAUAGCCACGGAGAAGUGAGAAAUGCCUGUGACAAAGGCUGUGGCCGCAGAUUCCUGUUUCCAGGCCAGGAGUGAGUAGUUCAGAGUAACCCAUCCCUGACGUAACCCCCCAUCCCUGGGAAGACACCCCCGGACACCGGGAGUUUCCCAUCUGGCAGCGAGGGCUAUAAGAGCGGGGCCAGGGCACGGGGAAGGGCAGAAGCCCUAGAGCUUUGCCUGCAGCCCCAUGCACCCGCCGAGGCCAUGCUGCCAGCCACAAGGGUCAUCUUUUCCUCUCCUCAGGUUGUCCACCCACACAAGCCAGGGCUGACCCCACCUUCAUUUCUUACCAGCAACCCCCCAAUGACGAAAGCAGACAUGAAGACUGGGCUUGUUGUCCGCUCGGUCUGCUUCCAUGGGCAGAGCCCACAGUCCAGCUGGGAGAUCCGGGAUCAAGAUCUCACCGACGCUUGACCUCCCUCCUCAUUGCACCGUUUCCCCCAGCCACCGGAGGAAGCCCCAGCGCGGAGGCGGGGGCCCAGCCACCAGCCCUGCUUAGGAAGGAAGGAGACAGGCGGGAGGUCGGUGAGAGUUAUCUGCAUCCCAGCUGGGGUGGGAGACUGCUGCCGGGAAGGAAGAGGAGCUCUGCUCUUCCACUUCUUGGCGUGGUGUUUCAUGGUUGGGAGAUACCAACUCCCGUAAAACGCUGUCCUGGAUAUGCUCUGCUUCACACUGCGCUGGGACAGGAACUUUGGUAUUUCUGCUAAAUCUCUACUGUCUUGUCCAAAACAAUAAAAUAAACGAUGCCAAGUCUACCUUGGAGAAGUUUCUUUGGGGGUAAGAAGGCCUGGGGAGGUGUGGGAACAGAGCAAGCUUUUCCAGCCGGCUUUCGGGAGCCCCUUCCCAUGCAAAGACUCAUUUUCUAAAGCCCCUGCCCCUCAUUUCAAGUUCAUCAACUGGGUUAUGUGACCUGGGAGUCCCAGCAACAACCAAGCAGAGGAGGCAUUCACCUACCUUUGGAAGCCAGGCCAGGCUGUUAUGACUUAAAAUAUCAGUAAAAUAUCUACCAGCAUCUGUUCAGGCCCGCAAA